CGAAGAAACUGAAGCUGGAUGGGUCAUGAGAAAGUCCCACAGCAGAGCAAGAACUCCAAGUUUUGUGAGACACUGAGGACCCAUCCUUCCCUAGAGAGUUUUCAAAUAAGUAGGAUUGAUGGCCCUCUAAUCAAAUCUCAGGAUGCUCCGAGGCUGAGGGGAAGAACAAAUGGAUUGCAUAAUAGAAUCGGGAUUCACAAAACUAUCAGUAGCCUGGCUUGAAGGGACGAAAAGAGCAAGUUGAAUUGCACUGGAAAUAAAUCUAAAACAUUGUCUCUAGACCUCCAAACACUGUCGUGAAAAUACUGUGUGAAGGGUGUCAAGAUGAAUAUAGUUCCUGCCUUCAAAUUCUUGUUAAAGAAACAGAUGUGGAGAUAGAAUGACAACCCAGAAAUGCUACAUGCCACUCAAGCUCUGAGAAGGACACAACAAAUCAGAGGGAAAUAGUUGCAGUGGACAGGACAGAGCCAGAUUGAAUCCUGUCUGAUUCUGCACGGAAGUGACAGAGCUUCCAGACGUGAACGACCAAUUAAGACAAUGGGAAAAAUGGAACAAUGGGUGGAAACUCACAAUUGCUGACCAAAAACUGGAGAGGCCUCUUCUGUUCUUUGGUGUCCCCUUGGACAAAGGUGGGCAAGGAUGUCCCCCAGAUAGGGAAGAUUUUAUAUCCUUCCAACCUGGCAAGAUGGGAGAAGCAAAACCAGAUACAAGGUUCUGGGAAUUGAAGUGAUCACUUGCUCCGAAUCUCAUAGUGAUAACCUUUAGAAACAAAAUCCAAGUUCUAGGUUUACUCCGAAGCUGGUGUGUGUUUGUGUAUACUAUACACACGGAGCCCAUUGGAAAGGCAAUAGGGAAGGAGAGGCUGGAAUUCCAAGGCUGUAUUUUUUUAAGCUCUGAGAAACUGAACUAAGAAUGUCCACGUCUAUAUCCGCAUGUAAUAUACAUUCAUCCUAACACAAAGCAGCCCCGC